CCCAGGCCACAGCAGGGAGCUGGAACAGAAAUGGAGCAGCCGGGACUCAAACAGGUGCUCCUAUUUGAUGCUGGCACUGCAGACGGCCACUUUACCGGCCACACCGCAGCCCCAGGCCCCAAGGCAAUAAGUGCUAAUCACAGUGUAAAAGUGCUGCAGCCCACUUUGGAACGGGACCUGAAUCUACACUCAGGCUGUGCGUCAGCCUGGCCGUGAUCCCACACAACCCCACCGUGUGCCUCUGGGCCUCGCACAACCCCAAGUGCAGCUAUGUCGUUUCAAAGCUCCGCACUCAUCAGUGCCCCUGCACCGGUACUGCGCCGUUGGCCUCCAGCCAGAUCGAUUUUCCUCCAUGGCUUCCUUGCAAUCAGGUUUGCCAAACGUCUUCCUAUCAAGAA